GGGGUAGCAAUACUUCGAUUUGGCGCACGGCGCACGGGUGCGUAACACGUGGGUGACCUGCCCUUGGAUGGGGAAUAACCCCGCGAAAGCGGGGCUAAUACCGCAUAAAAUUCUUCGACAUACGGGUUGAGGAAUCAAAGUCUUCGGACGUCCGAGGAGGGGCCCGCGGCCGAUUAGCUAGUUGGCGAGGUAAUGGCUCACCAAGGCAAUGAUCGGUAGCUGGUCUGAGAGGAUGAUCAGCCACACUGGAACUGAGACACGGUCCAGACUCCUACGGGAGGCAGCAGUGGGGAAUCUUGCGCAAUGGGCGAAAGCCUGACGCAGCAACGCCGCGUGUAGGAUGAAAUCUUUCGGGAUGUAAACUACUGUUAGAGGGGAAGAAAGUCUUGACUUGUCGAGACCUGACGGUACCCUCAGAGAAAGCCCCGGCUAACUCUGUGCCAGCAGCCGCGGUAAUACAGGGGGGGCAAGCGUUGUCCGGAAUUACUGGGUGUAAAGGGUCCGUAGGCGGAUCGGUAAGUCAGUGGUUAAAUCCUGCAGCUUAACUGUAGACUAUCCAUUGAUACUGCCGGUCUUGAGUGCGAGAGAGAUGA
rnacentral:rRNA from 1 species